UAAACCAUAAGAGACUCUUAAAUACAGAGAACAAACGAGGGUGGAUGGGGGCGGGUGGAGAGGGGGAAAUUGGUGAUGAGCAUUUAGGAGGGCACUUGUUGGGAUGAACACUGGGUGUUUUGUAAGCGAUAAAUCAUGGGAAUCUACUCCCAAAGUCAAGAGCACUGUAUACACUAUAUGUUAGCUAACUUGACAAUAAAUUAUAUUUAAAAUAAUAAUAAUAAUAAAAUAAAAUCAGUGGUUCCACAAUUUAGUGAUUUAACCAUUUGUCUAAAUGCUCUGUAGUAUGUAGAAUAUACUGUAUGUCUUGUGGAAAAGUAGCAGUAAUAAGGAAUGUUCUGAUAGAAAAUGUUAUCCUUUUUAUUAAAAUAAUAAUUUCAAAAUUAUGCUUCUUUUUCAGAUAUCUGUGUCUAACAAUAAAUGGAUAGAUAGCCUGACCCUCUCUUGGAACUGGACUUUAGGAAAUUUGUUUUUCAUAGCUUUUAAUUAAUGAUCCAAACUCUACUAGAUAAGCAGAAUUUUUAAAAAAUACUUUUUGAUGACUCAUUAUUCCUUCAAGUCAUGAGAUAAUCUUUACCACAGCAAUGCAAUGGGACAUGGUGCUAAAUGACCUGAAACAACAGCUAUCCCAGAAAGAUGGUCUCUGGUUGUCCUGUAGGUGACUUCGAGAUCCUAAAACUAAUUAUAGUAAAGAAUAUAUUUAACAGAUGUCCGUGAAAUUGAUUGAGAAACCGCCCCCCCUUUUAAAAAGUAUAAUACGCAUACCUUAACUCAUUUACUUCUAAAAAGUUCUGUGAGUUAUGUUGGCAUGGAUUCUCCAAGAAGCAGAUGCUAAUUCAGGAUUAAAUGUACGAGAAAUUUAUUAGAGUAAAAGCCUGGGACAGGAAAUGAGGAGGGAAAAUGGGGAAUAUGAAAUGUGAAUCUGAUCAUAUCCUGGUCCUCCUUAAAAUCCUACAAUGUCUUCUUAUGGUCCUUAGAUUAUAUAUGGUCCUUAGAUUAUAGUGUCUUUAACAUGGCCUGUAAGGCUCUGCAUGAUCUGGCCCUUACCUCACAGCCUCAACUUUUGAUUGGUUCCACAUCAGCUUCUUCACCCCAAACAUGUUGGUGAACUCUUAGCUUCUUAAAAAUGUCCUUCUCUUUCCUGUUCAUAGGCCUUUGCACUUGACGUUCAGUUCCUCCCUUUUCAUAUAGCUAACUCCUACUCCUUCUUCUCAUCUCAAUUUAAUCAUGACUGUCCCUGACUCUCCAACAAGAGUCAGUAAGAGUUACCUUAUGUAUGAACUCAGCAGUCAGUAGAUUUCCCUUACACUGCUUAUCUCCAGCCCACAAAGGGAUUUUCUUAUAUACAAGGAAUACAGGUCCCAAAGCCAUGUCUGCUGUUGGCCUUCCCAACUAAUUCCACCAUCAUUUUGGUGUGAAUUUAUAUCUUACUUAAUCAUCUUGCCAGUGGUAAGUGGGCAGAUUUUCCUUAGUUUUUGGCCUGACUCUGAGGUAAGUGCAAUAGCAGGCCUAAUCAGGGAAAUAAAGAUAUUUUGCCUAUUUUCCCUGGACUGCUUUAAUAUCUGGGAACAAGUAACCUGCUGGGAGUUGGUGGUUUGGAUUUAUGGCUAGAAUAUUAGUUUGGGAGUCAAACUCAGGCUGUAAUCCUAACUACACCCCUAAUAGCUGUUUAGGUUGACUCUGUGAGUCUCAAGUUUUCAUCAGUCGAAAGGACAGGGAAAUCACGGCAGACAUGGAAGAACACAGUUGCAGGGUCUGUAGCUGUGGAAAUGUCAAGACACUGUGAAGAUUGAGGAUUACAUACAGUGCCAUAUAUAUAUAUAUAUAUAUAUAUAUAUAUAUAUAUAUAUAUAUAUCUCACAAAGAGAGUGUGGCUUUGUUGGACACCUGCCAAUUUUUAACUCAAUCAGCUUGAGCUCAAGUAAAGAACAGACUGAUAAUUUGACUAUGCCCUUACAUAGAUGUUCACUGCCCUCCCCUUUCCUAUCCCUGUCAAUGGGUGGUGGAUUCUAGGGGCCAGUAUCAUCCUUCUGAGGGUGCAUGCAGUCCUUGUCUGCCUGACCUAAAUUGUGGGUAAUGAAGGCUCAGGCGAUUGUGUGUGCUCUCCUACUUGUCUGCUUUUAAGUUUUCUCUAAAUUUAUUCCAUUUCAUGUUUGCACCGUGAGGCCAUAAUAACGAGUGCCCAUGACCUCUUCGCAUGACAGUUGGAGACCAAGUAGGGACAAGUACCACCUGUUCCAGUAUUAUGUGGUUUUGGAAGCAGCAGAGUUUAACUGCUCACCUAGGAUGGGAAACAACCCUCUUGGGAGCAGGGGAGGUCACCUGAAAAAGUCUAGGGCCAUGUGUUGCUAUCCCAGAAUCAUGUUUAGUGGCAUCAGAGGAGUCCUUCAGACACCAAAGCUCCCAAACUCACAAGUCACUGGAAAGAGGUAGAUUUUUAUGCAAAAGGAAAACCCAGAAGACUGAGACACUAGUUGCCUGAUUUUUGCAAAGUCCCAAGGCCUCACUCUGUUAUUUUACCAGGCCUAGGGUAAGGCCAAGCAUGUUUUUGAAAAUGUCUGUCACAAGUUGUGAUGUGUCCCCCUGGGUAAGGACUGCUAGAAUAAGCCAUCACCAAAGUCCCAUUAGCUUUUUAGUUCAAGAGGCAAGCUAAGUUGUAAACAUACGGGUUUUCUCUCUUGUUUUCUUGGAUAAAUUGUAUAAAAUAAUUUGUAAUUUCUACCUUGCCUUCAUCCCCAAAUGUCUUGUACCUUUUAUCAUUUUCAUAGAGCCUAGUGCCCUGUGUAGCAACUGGGGUAGGUAGAUGGACUCCUGCAAAGGUAAGAUGUUUAUACAACUUUUGUUUGUUACAUUCUGAUGCUCUGAUGUGUGUUGUGUAAUUUCCUUCUGCCUUCUGUGUGAAGACCACGACACUCUGAUUUACAAUUCUGCCUUUUUACUUAUUUUUUUAAAAUGUUGAUUUAUUUCUUUUGAGAGAGAGAGCAUGCAUGCAUGCGAGCAGGGAAGGGGCAGAUAGAGAAUCCCAAGCAGGCUCCACAUGUCAGUAUGGAGCCCGACAUGGGACUUGCUCCCACAAACCGUGAAAUCAUGACCUGAGCUGAAAUCAAGAGUUGAGUUCUUAACUGACUGAACCACCCAGGUGCCCCUCUGCCUUUUUAAAUGUGUAACCCAUUAUAAUUUACUGACUAACUUUGCAGCAUGUAUUCAGAUAUUUUCCUGACCCAUUACUAUAGUAACGGGGAGAGAGGCCUCAUCCUGGAGGAGCUCAGAGGAGAGAAAGCAGAAGCCUGAGGAAUAAGAGCCUACAGAGAAAAAAGGAAAAUCUGAGGGCACGUCUACCACAGAGGCCAGAGCAGCACAUCAAAGCCAGAAGUACACAGAGUCAUCAGAGUUCAGAUUUUUUCCUGCUGCCCUGUGGAGGGGUCAAGAACAUGAACAUCCUCAAUUGUUAGAGCAGGAGGAAAUAUUAGUCCCAUCAACAGAACCAAACAGGAAACACCAAAUGGGCAUUUCUUCUAUUUAUUUUGUGACCGGUAGGAAAGAUGUUUAUUUCUUUCAACCAAAUUUGUUGGUAAAGCGUAAAAAUCAUAUAAGAUGUAGUCAUUUUCAUUUCAAGAUUUAAUGCUGCUUUCCAGUUAUUUUUACUUACUACAAUUUCUGCAGUACUACGUUCUUAGGAUGUUGGGAUUCUACCAUAUCUGAAGUAAUUUUUUUCUUUUUUAAACUGUGAACCAGAAGCUUGACAUUUGCUGCAGCCUAUUAAGAUUCACGUUAUGAUUCACCCCAAAUUUAAUUACAUUUCUCAGAACAUUUUCUUUCCAGAUCCGGAAGGAUGCACAUUUAUUGAACAGCAUGACUUCUCCUCCCUUCAAUUUGCGAUAAGGGGCUAAACGUGUCAGAUAAGGCCAGGAAAUACCUCAAAUGGUACUUCUGAGGUUUGUCUGCCUUAGCAAAAUUUUUAAUCUUGGUAUAUCAGUUGGUUAUCCACUCCAUGACAUUAGAACAAGUUCUUUUACUGCACUGCCAGUGAUGGCAGAUAAACAAAAAUGACGCACAUUGUAAUGAUUUAACAAGCCUAGUGCAGGAGCAAAAGUGAAUGUAAUUUGUAUUUUUAAUGAAUAUUUCCAGAAAUAAAUCAACAAACCACUUCAUUAUUCUUGUAAUUACUUGGCAUCUCUUAAUUCCAGAAGACUCUUUGGCCUGCUUGUUAGAAGAAAAUGAAUGUUUCUUUUCAGCUUCCCUCAUUAUUUUUCUCAUCCGGACAGAGGUAUACCAAGGAUGGGACGGUGGCAGGGGUCUACCCCCACUAGUAUAGGCGGUAAAGGAGUGCAUUGUGUGCAGAAAAUUUUAAAGGAAUAAAAUAAAAUAAUAGUAAAAGUCUGUCUGCUUAUAUUAAUACUAUGCACUGACAAUUCUAAGCAAUGCCAGUGAUACUACUCGUGUCUGAAAAAGCAGUCUUCUGUAGGCUUAAGUUCUAAACACCUGGUGCACUUACUGAAAUGUAAUAAUACAUAUGUAAGUUGAAAAUUACCAUGUUUUUAAAGUUUGCUUAUUUUGAGAGACAGCAUGUGCAAGCCGGGGAGGGGCAGAGAGAGAGGGAGAGAAUCCCAAGCAUGCUCCACUGGCAGCACGGAGCCUGAUGUGGGGUUUGAUCCCAUGAACUGUGAGAACAUGACCUGAACUGAAAUCAAGAGUUGGACGCUUAACCGACUGAGCCACCCAGGUGCCCUUACCUUUUCUAUUACUUAUUCUUCAAUAAACAUUGUAUUCUAUAUGGAAGUAAUUCCAACUCCCCUACAGGUGAACUCAGCUACACUUUUAUCUCAAGAAUAAGCAACCAACUUCUGUUUUUUAUUUUCAUAAUCACUCUGGUAUAAUUGUUUAUUUUGAAUCUGUGUUUAAACUCAGGAUUACACAGUACAUAGGGUUAGAGGUAUGAACUGAACCUGAAGGAAGCUCAAAUAAUUUACAAACAUUACAAGCUGUAGGGGAAUUUUACCAAAUAUAAUAGAAAUUUAUGAUGAAAUUUCUGGUGAAGGUGUUUUAGUGGAAAUUUUCAACUGCAGAAACAUUUGAAACACGUGAACCCCAGAGAACAAAGACUUGGACAAUUUCUUGAAUUUACUAUGAAAUGGGAUUUUUAUGAAUCUCAACAACCUUAUUUGAAAGCUUUCUAUUUCUAUAUCUCUCUUCAUGUGAGAGAAACAUAUGAAAUUAAAAUAAGUAAAAAGGGUUCUUCAAUCAACUAUUAGUGUGGAUGGAUUGACAGACCAGGUAUAUACUAUAUACUGAUUCUAUUGACCAUGAAUAUAUGAAGAUCAGUUUGACAGUAAUACCAUUGACAAAUUUGUGGAAGUGAACUUUCAAAGCCAGAAACCACAAUAGAAAUAUUCAUCACCAUGGCAGACCAAUAUGUAGGUAUAAAUAUUUUUCUCCUGUUUUAAAAAAAUUAAUGUACUUUAAAAGUAUUAAAACUGUAUUUCUUGCAUUUUAUUAAUUUUUUACUAGCUCUGUUUUAUAUGUAAAAUUUAGUAAAGGAAAAUUGUCACUGCA